rnacentral:misc_RNA from 1 species
UACCGAGGGUGCGAGCGUUGUCCGGAUUUACUGGGCGUAAAGCAUGCGUAGGUGGUUUGUUAAGUCGGAUGUGAAAUCCCAGGGCUCAACCUUGGAAUUGCAUUCGAUACUGGCAGACUAGAGAUCGGUAGAGGUUAGUGGAAUUCCAGGUGUAGCGGUGAAAUGCGUAGAUAUCUGGAGGAACAUCGAUGGCGAAGGCAACUGACUGGGCCUGAUCUGACACUGAGGUGCGAAAGCGUGGGGAGCAAACAGG